rnacentral:rRNA from 1 species
GAUUAACGCUGGCGGUAUGCCUAACACAUGCAAGUCGAACGGAAUACUCGAAAAGAGAAUCUCACACUAGUGAGAGGUUCUCCAACCGAGUAUUUAGUGGCGGACGGGUGAGUAACACGUUGGAACCUGCCCCGAAGUGGGGAAUAACUGCUCGAAAGAGUAGCUAAUACCCCAUAGUAUCCGGUUUAUCCGGAUUAAAGAUUUAUCGCUUCGGGAGGGGCCUGCGUCUGAUUAGCUUGUUGGUGAGGUAAAAGCUCACCAAGGCGACGAUCAGUAGCUGGUUCGAGAGGAUGACCAGCCACACUGGGACUGAGAUACGGCCCAGACUCCUACGGGAGGCAGCAGUGAGGAAUCUUCCACAAUGGACGAAAGUCUGAUGGAGCAAU